rnacentral:tRNA from 1 species
GCCUGGGUGGCUCAGUGGUUGAGCAUCUGCCUUCAGCUCAGAUCAUGAUCGCGGGGCCCUGGGAUCAAGUCCCACAUCCGGCU